GUAACAAGGUCUCCGUUGGUGAACCAGCGGAGGGAUCAUUACUGAGUGUAACAACUCCCAAACCCCAUGUGAACAUACCACUGUUGCUUCGGCGGGCUCGCCCCGGGCGCCAUCUGCGUGCCCCGGAACCAGGCACCCGCCGGGGACCCAUCAACUCUUGUUUUUUACUUGCUUUGUCUCUGAGUGUGAUUUUUUACAGAAUCAAAUCAAAACUUUCAACAACGGAUCUCUUGGCUCUGGCAUCGAUGAAGAACGCAGCGAAAUGCGAUAAGUAAUGCGAAUUGCAGAAUUCAGUGAAUCAUCGAAUCUUUGAACGCACAUUGCGCCCGCCAGUAUUCUGGCGGGCAUGCCUGUCUGAGCGUCAGUUCAACCCUCGUCCCCCCUGGCUUCGGCCGGGAGGGGCGGUGUUGGGGAUCGGCCGCCCGUCCGCGGGAGGCCGCCCCCUAAAUGGAGUGGCGACCCCGCCGUAGCCUCCUCUGCGUAGUAGUCAACUCACCUCGCAGGCGGAGAGCGGUGCGGUCCGCCGUAAAAAACCCCACUUUUUUCAGGUUGACCUCAGAUCAGGUAGGAAUACCCGCUGAACUUAAGCAUAUC
rnacentral:misc_RNA from 1 species